rnacentral:rRNA from 1 species
UACGUAGGGACCGAGCGUUGUCCGGAUUCAUUGGGCGUAAAGAGCUCGUAGGCGGCUGUUCAAGUCGAACGUGAAAACUCGGAGCUCAACUCCGAGCCUGCGUUCGAUACUGGACGGCUAGAGUCUGGUAGGGGGAUCUGGAAUUCCUGGUGUAGCGGUGGAAUGCGCAGAUAUCAGGAGGAACACCGGUGGCGAAGGCGGAUCUCUGGGCCUUACCUGACGCUCAGGCGCGAAAGCUAGGGGAGCGAACUGG